rnacentral:rRNA from 1 species
GAUGAACGCUAGCGGCAGGCCUAAUACAUGCAAGUCGAACGGUAAGGCCCUUUCGGGGGUACACGAGUGGCGGACGGGUGCGUAACGCGUAUGCAACAUGCCUUCCAGCGGGGGAUAUACCAGGGAAACUUGGCGCAAUACCCCAUAGAAUUACGGGACCGCAUGGUCUUGUGAUUAAAACUCCGGUGCUGGGAGAUUGGCAUGCGUGACAUUAGCUAGUUGGCGGGGUAACGGCCCACCAAGGCGACGAUGUCUAGCUGGUCUGAGAGGAUGAUCAGCCACACUGGGACUGAGACACGGCCCAGACUCCUACGGGAGGCAGCAGUGGGGAAUUUUGGACAAUGGGCGCAAGCCUGAUCCAGCAAUGCCGCGUGCAGGAAGAAGGCC